GCGCCCGUAGCUCAAUGGAUAGAGUACUGCCCUCCGAAGGCAGGGGUUGCUGGUUCGAUCCCAGCCGGGCGCACCA
rnacentral:tRNA from 109 species